rfam:Pseudomonas sp. 5 contig30, whole genome shotgun sequence.
CUUCACAGUUUUUUUACAAAGGCUGUGUAGGUCCCGGGACAGGCGUAUUUUUUUGCAGUUCUUGCGCUCUGUCAGUUUACUUACUACAAGUAAUGGGUACUAUGUACACCGGCUAGUUUCUCUUUGCUGAGAGA